GAGCGCUCGUAGCAAUACGAGAGCGGCAGACGGGAGAGUAACACGUGGGAACGUGCCCUUCGGUUCGGAAUAACUCAGGGAAACUUGAGCUAAUACCGGAUACGCCCUUACGGGGAAAGAUUUAUUGCCGAAGGAGCGGCCCGCGUCUGAUUAGCUAGUUGGUGAGGUAACGGCUCACCAAGGCGACGAUCAGUAGCGGGUCUGAGAGGAUGACCAGCCUCACUGGGACUGAGACACGGCCCAGACUCCUACGGGAGGCAGCAGUGGGGAAUAUUGGACAAUGGGCGCAAGCCUGAUCCAGCCAUGCCGCGUGGAUGAUGAAGGCCUUAGGGUUGUAAAGUCCUUUCAGCGGGGAAGAUAAUGACGGUACCCGCAGAGGAAGCCCCGGCUAACUUCGUG
rnacentral:rRNA from 1 species